rnacentral:rRNA from 1 species
GAAACGGGAGCUAUACCGGAUGUGCCGAAAGGUGAAAGGUUUACUGCCUGGGGAAGGAGCUCGCGUCUGAUUAGCUAGUUGGUGGGGUAAAAGCCUACCAAGGCGACGAUCAGUAGCUGGUCUGAGAGGAUGAGCAGCCACACUGGGACUGAGACACGGCCCAGACUCCUACGGGAGGCAGCAGUGGGGAAUUUUCCGCAAUGGGCGAAAGCCUGACGGAGCAAGACCGCGUGGGGGAGGAAGGCCUUUGGGUUGUAAACCCCUUUUGUCAGGGAAGAAGACAGUGACGGUACCUGACGAAUCAGCCUCGGCUAACUCCGUGCCAGCAGCCGCGGUAAUACGGAGGAGGCAAGCGUUAUCCGGAAUAAUUGGGCGUAAAGCGUCCGUAGGUGGCCCGGCAAGUCUGUUGU